CACACUGUAAACGAUGAUCACUAGAUGUUCGGCUGUAAUGGCUGAGUGUUCAAGCGAAAGCGAUAAGUGAUCCACCUGGGGAGUACGCCGGCAACGGUGAAACUCAAAGGAAUUGACGGGGGCCCGCACAAGCGGUGGAGCAUGUGGUUUAAUUCGAUGAUACGCGAGGAACCUUACCUAGGCUAGAAUGUGCGUGAAUGAUGGGGAAACUUAUCAGUCCCGCAAGGGACACAAAACAAGGUGC
rnacentral:rRNA from 1 species